GCUCCUGUAGCCUAGAGGUUUAAGGCGUCGUGCUUAUAAGGGUGAUCCUCUUAUGCUACGCGAAGAUCGCGGGUUCGACCCCCGCCAGGAGCA
rfam:Neocallimastix californiae strain G1 LY90scaffold_121, whole genome shotgun sequence.